rnacentral:misc_RNA from 1 species
UAGAUCUCAGUAUAUCGUGGCAAUAAUAAGUUUUUGAAAUAAAUUAUUAUAGACAAAAUUUAUUAAAUUAUUGCGUUUUAUUUUGAAGUAUUAAUAUAUUUGAAAGAAAUUAGUUGUAAUUUGUCUUUAAAUAAUUGUAUAUUUAUAUUAAUGAUAUUUUAUCAAAAUUGUAAUUGCGUUUGGAGUAAGCCAUUUUAGUACAUGAAUGUAUGGAAAUAGUUAUUACAAUAGUUGUCAUGGUUACACAUACACUACAUGGCUACUAAAUAUUUAGUUCACCAGUUCAUUUUUGUCCGUCAUACAGACAACAAGUUAAAAAAAUUUCUAUCAAAAUUAUUUACAGUUGUAUUAUUAUUUAUUAUUUUAGUUGGUAUAAUAUGAUGACUAAUAGAGGUCAAAUUUUGCAUCGCACGAAAAUACAAACCUAAACGAUAAUCCAGAUUAUGUGCAAUUCCAUGCUAUCAAGAUGAUUGAACAAGAUGUUCUAUAAAGUUAACGUCAACGCAGAAAUAAUUACAUAUAGAACUAAAUCAUCACACGAUCAUCAUCAGUGACAUAACAGAUUUAAUUAAAACGAUAAUAUUACACUCCUAAGUGUAGAAGUUGUUAUUAAUUACUAAAAUUAAAUGCAGUCUUAGAUAAGCACAUUCUGGAGAGUACCUUUCAUCUGUUAAUAGUCUUAAGAAAGGUCGAUUAAACAUGAAUCGAUACAUAACAUUGAGUCAAUUAGGCGAUGGUACAUUUGGAUCGGUUGUACUUGGUCAACGUAUUGACACUGGUGAAAAGGUUGCUAUUAAAAGGAUGAAAAGAAAAUAUUAUUCCUGGGAAGAAGCUAUGAAUCUUCGAGAAGUCAAGUCUUUGAAGAAGCUGAGUCAUGCUAACGUGGUAAAAUUGAAAGAAGUCAUCCGGGAAAAUGAUGUUCUCUAUUUCGUCUUUGAAUACAUGAAGGAAAAUCUAUAUCAACUAAUGAAAGAUAGAGAUAAAUUAUUUCCGGAGCCAGUUAUUAGAAAUAUGGUUUAUCAAGUGCUUCAGGGUCUAGCAUUCAUGCACAAGCAUGGUUUCUUUCAUCGAGAUAUGAAGCCAGAGAAUUUAUUAUGCAUGGGUCCAGAGUUAAUUAAGAUAGCUGACUUUGGUUUGGCACGUGAAAUCCGUUCUAGGCCACCAUACACUGACUACGUAUCGACAAGAUGGUACAGAGCUCCAGAAGUUUUACUUCAUUCAACCACAUACAGCAGUCCAAUAGAUAUUUGGGCGGUUGGUUGUAUAAUGGCUGAACUCUAUACAUUUAGACCUUUGUUUCCUGGUAAAAGUGAAAUUGAUGAAAUUUUUAAAAUUUGUGCUGUAAUGGGAACACCAGAUAAAGAUGACUGGCCAGAAGGCUAUGAGCUAGCUGAAGCAAUGAACUUUAGGUUUCCUCUGUUCAAGAAAACUCCUCUUAAAGAUAUUAUACCGAAUGCUAGUCAAGAUGCUAUUAUUCUUAUGGAAGAUAUGCUUGAAUGGAAUCCAAUUAAAAGACCUAAUGCUCAGCAAGCACUCAGAUAUCCUUAUUUCCAAGUUAAUAAUGCAACACGUGUUGCAAUGAGUGGACAAAAGCUUGGAAGUAGUUCUCAUCCUCAGCGAGAAUAUAUGAUGAAUAAAAUUCAUAUUCCUUCACAGAAUAUUUUCUUUCAACCUAGUAAUAAAGAUUUUAAUCGUAAUAUUAUUGGAUCUCAAGCCAUUGAUAAAGUUAUAAUCCCACAAGCUAAUCAACAGUCCACUCUGCCCCUCCUUAAUGGUAAUGACAUGAAAAAAGCAGAAAAAAAUGUGCCAACCUGGGGAGAUGAAGAUUUAAUCAAUUCUCUUGGAAAUAAAAUAUUGUCAGAGAAAAAUUCAAUAGGAUUAAAACCAAUAAUAAAUGCUGCUGAUAAGUUGAUUCAUAAAGAAAAUCGAAUAAACUGGAAUGAAGGGAAGGCAGAGAAUGAUGAUGGAGUGAAAGAUAGUAAGAAACAAUUAAACAGCAGUGCAUCAAGUUGGAGAAUACAAUCACCAAUGUGGAGUCGAAAUGAUAUACCUUCUCAAAAUCAAAACAAAUUACAAGCUAUAAACCUAAAAAAUAAUCGAAAUAUUUCAGCCAAACAGCAUUACCUCAGUAUCGCCCGGUACGUCGCAGGCCAAAAUACAAAUUUAUCAUUCAGAAAUCCAAAUCAAAUGGAUCAAGGUGGCUUACCGAGAUUGUUAUUAAAUGUUUCUGGGGAUCACCAAUGCCACCGGAUAAUGGAGAACUCAAAAUGAAACAACAUUAUCUUCCAUCAAGUAAUCGUUAUGUGUCGGAAAAAACAGAAAGAAAAAUACCGUAUCCAAAUGUCUAUAAUACCCAAGGAAUUAAAUCAACUCCAAAUCGAACAAUAUUUCAACCAAAUAUCUUUGGAAGUGUUUUUAAUUCAUCACGAGCAAAUGGUUCUUCGUAUCAUCGAGUUGAUAGAUCAAGCUGGGCAGCCAAAUA